rnacentral:lncRNA from 1 species
CAUCGUAACAUUGUUGCCGAAGUUCGGUUGUAGCUUCUGCUUUUUCCGAGCCUUCAACGGACUGUAUUUCCUUUCCUUCAACACAAUCUCCUUCGACGUAUUCGGAAUAUUCCGGUUGUGGGUUUAGAAGCCGUAGACAUCUUUAUCCAUACCUACCGGCACCGUCACAGACCCGCGAUGGAAGAGAUGUGUGUGGUUGUUUCACGGUUGAGGGCGAGCGGAAACGAGAGUAAGUUUAUGCCG